GAGACGAUGUUGCCACAACGGGCGGACUCAUAGGAGUAUCUGCAAAGUUCAAGAGCAACAAAUCAGAAACCAAUAGCACGAGCAAAGGUAAGACAUCAAAAACUGAAUUACCUUCUGCUUCGAUGAUUGGGGGGUCGACACCCUGGGAAGAAGGUGGCUCAUCCAUGGGUUGUGAUGAAGACUCUGGGACUGAAGAUGUAUCUUUAAGCAUGGUCCCAUCACCAACCGGUUUGGAUGAAGUAGCCUCAGCAGAGGAUGAUGGAGCAGGAGUUGUCGAUGCCAAAGCCUUUGAAGGGGAGGCUGAACUUUUC
rnacentral:lncRNA from 1 species